AUUGAACGCUGGCGGCAGGCUUAACACAUGCAAGUCGAACGAGUGGCGGACGGGUGAGUAAUGCUUGGGAAUCUGGCUUAUGGAGGGGGAUAACGACGGGAAACUGUCGCCAAUACCGCGUACUAUAGGAUGAGCCUAAGUGGGAUUAGGUAGUUGGUGGGGUAAUUGCCUACCAAGCCUGUGAUCUCUAGCUGGUCCGAGGGGAUGACCGGCAACACUGGAACUGUGACACGGUCCAGACUCCUACGGGGGGCAGAAGUGGGGAAUAUUGCGCAAUGGGGAGAGUCGAACGCAGCCAUGCCGCGUAGAUGAAGAAGGCCUUCGGGUUGUAAGGUUCUUUCGGUAGUGAGGCGUUAAAUACAGAGGAAGCACCGGCUAACUCCGUGCCAGCAGCCGCGGUAAUAC
rnacentral:rRNA from 1 species